rnacentral:rRNA from 1 species
GAUGAACGCUGGCGGCGUGCCUAAUACAUGCAAGUCGAGCGAACGGACGAGAAGCUUGCUUCUCUGAUGUUAGCGGCGGACGGGUGAGUAACACGUGGAUAACCUACCUAUAAGACUGGGAUAACUUCGGGAAACCGGAGCUAAUACCGGAUAAUAUUUUGAACCGCAUGGUUCAAAAGUGAAAGACGGUCUUGCUGUCACUUAUAGAUGGAUCCGCGCUGCAUUAGCUAGUUGGUAAGGUAACGGCUUACCAAGGCAACGAUGCAUAGCCGACCUGAGAGGGUGAUCGGCCACACUGGAACUGAGGCACGGUCCAGACUCCUACGGGAGGCAGCAGUAGGGAAUCUUCCGCAAUGGGCGAAAGCCUGACGGAGCAACGCCGCGUGAGUGAUGAAGGUCUUCGGAUCGUAAAACUCUGUUAUUAGGGAAGAACAUAUGUGUAAGUAACUGUGCACAUCUUGACGGUUCCUAAUCAGAAAGCCACGGCUAACUACGUG